AUGGGAGCCUAUAUGUCUCCAUUGUAUGUGAGCAAGCAGAGCAAGUGUCUAGGAUGCCCCUUCACCCCCACCCGUUCAAGACCUCUCCCCAAUCCCACAGGCAGUCCUAUUCCUCAAUCCCCCCUGCUCCCCACCCUGCACCUUUCAGAGUCUUGUCAUUUCUCUCCAGAUCACAUGUCCAGUGUCCCCAGCACCCUGUCGACCGGCAGCCCCAGCACCUCUGGCUGGGCCACUGUAGCAUCCUCUCCACCUCCACUUGGCCUGGCAGCCCAUCCUCUGACAGCCCUGAGGGUCCCUCAUAAGAUGAGGAGUGGGUCUGGCCUCUGCCCCCCAAACCUGUGCUUGGCUUCCCCAGCUCUCUCCUGGAGUCAAGUCCGUGCUCCGGGGGCCUGCAGCCUGGCCCUGCAGCCCCUCCUGCUCCCCGUAAUCUCUCCCUGCUCCUGCUCAUGCUCCUGCUCCUGCUCCUGUUCCUGUUCCUGCUCCUGGUCCUGCUCCUGCUCCUGUCCUGCUCCUGCUCCUGCUCCUGGUCCUGCUCUGCUCCUGCUCCUGCUCCUGCUCCUGUUCCUGCUCCUGCUCCUGCUCCUUCCUGCUCCUGGUCCUGCUCCUGCUCCUGCUCCUGCUCCUGCUCCUGGUCCUGCUCCUGCUCCUGCUCCUGCUCCUGCUCCUGUUCCUGCUCCUGCUCCUGCUCCUGCCUGCUCCUGUCCUGCUCCUGCUCCUGCUCCUGUUCCUGCUCCUGCUCCUGCUCCUGCUCCUGCUCCUGCUCCUGCUCCUGGUCCUGCUCCUGUCUGCUCCUGCUCCUGCUCCUGUCCUGCUCCUGUCCUGCUCCUGCUCCUGCUCCUGCUCCUGCUCCUGUUCCUGCUCCUGCUCCUGGUCUUGCUCCUGCUCCUGGUCCUGGUCCUGCUCCUGGUCUUGCUCCUGCUCCUGGUCCUGCUCCUGCUCCUGCUCCUGCUCCUGCUCCUGCUCCUGUUCCUGCUCCUGCUCCUGCUCCUGCUCCUGGUCCUACUCCUGCUCCUGUUCCUGCUCCUGCUCCUGGUCCCAGUUCUGGUCUUCUAG
rnacentral:lncRNA from 1 species